rnacentral:rRNA from 1 species
AGAAUGAACGCUGGCGGCGUGCUUAACACAUGCAAGUCGAACGAAAUCCAAGGAGCUUGCUCUGGAAGAUUUAGUGGCGAACGGGUGAGUAUCACGUGAGCAACCUGCCCCGAAGACUGGGAUAACACCGGGAAACCGGUGCUAAUACCGGAUACCCCCACCGGAUCGCAUGGUCUGGUGAGGAAAUGAAUUUUGCUUUGGGAGGACUCGCGGCCUAUCAGCUUGUUGGUGGGUAACGCCUACCAAGGCGACGACGGGUA